rnacentral:rRNA from 1 species
GAUGAACGCUGGCGGCGUGCCUAAUACAUGCAAGUCGAGCGAACAGACGAGGAGCUUGCUCCUUUGACGUUAGCGGCGGACGGGUGAGUAACACGUGGGUAACCUACCUAUAAGACUGGGAUAACUUCGGGAAACCGGAGCUAAUACCGGAUAAUAUUUCGAACCGCAUGGUUCGAUAGUGAAAGAUGGCUUUGCUAUCACUUAUAGAUGGACCUGCGCCGUAUUAGCUAGUUGGUAAGGUAACGGCUUACCAAGGCAACGAUACGUAGCCGACCUGAGAGGGUGAUCGGCCACACUGGAACUGAGACACGGUCCAGACUCCUACGGGAGGCAGCAGUAGGGAAUCUUCCGCAAUGGGCGAAAGCCUGACGGAGCAACGCCGCGUGAGUGAUGAAGGUCUUCGGAUCGUAAAACUCUGUUAUUAGGGAAGAACAAACGUGUAAGUAACUGUGCACAUCUUGACGGUACCUAAUCAGAAAGCCACGGCUAACUACGUG